AAAAAAUAAACAUAUAGUAUUCGUAUAUGCUUGAAGAUAUGGUUCAAGUGUUUCUACUAGGAAACCGUAAAUAUCCUAACUACGAAGAUUCGAUUAUUGCCA
rfam:Clostridium sp. 7_2_43FAA genomic scaffold supercont2.4, whole genome shotgun sequence.